rnacentral:SRP_RNA from 1 species
GCCAGGCUAGGUGGUGCACACCUGUAGUCUCAGCUACUGGGGAUGCUGAAACAGGAGGAUCUCUUGAGUCCCAGAGUUCUGGGCUGUAGUGUACUGUGCUGAUCAGGNCUGCAUUAAGUUCAGUAUCAAUAUGACGACCUCCCAGGAGCCACCAGGUUGUCUAAGGAGGGGUGAACCUGCCCAGGUUGGAAAUGGAGCAUGUCAAAACUCUCGUGCUGAUCAGUAAUGGGAUCGUGCCUAUGAAUAGCCACUGCACUCCAGACUGGGCAACAUAUCGAGGACACAAAU